CAGGUCUUGACAUCCUCUGACACUCCUAGAGAUAGGACGUUCCCCUUCGGGGGACAGAGUGACAGGUGGUGCAUGGUUGUCGUCAGCUCGUGUCGUGAGAUGUUGGGUUAAGUCCCGCAACGAGCGCAACCCUUGAUCUUAGUUGCCAGCAUUCAGUUGGGCACUCUAAGGUGACUGCCGGUGACAAACCGGAGGAAGGUGGGGAUGACGUCAAAUCAUCAUGCCCCUUAUGACCUGGGCUACACACGUGCUACAAUGGAUGGUACAAAGGGCUGCAAAACCGCGAGGUCGAGCCAAUCCCAUAAAACCAUUCUCAGUUCGGAUUGUAGGCUGCAACUCGCCUACAUGAAGCCGGAAUCGCUAGUAAUCGUGGAUCAGCAUGCCACGGUGAAUACGUUCCC
rnacentral:rRNA from 1 species